rnacentral:rRNA from 1 species
CCUACGGGAGGCAGCAGUAAGGAAUAUUGGUCAAUGGACGCAAGUCUGAACCAGCCAUGCCGCGUGAAGGAUGAAUGCCCUCUGGGUUGUAAACUUCUUUUAUAGGGGACGAAAAAGGGUCUUUUCAGAUCAACUGACGGUACCCCUAGGAAUAAGCACCGGCUAACUCCGUGCCAGCAGCCGCGGUAAUACGGAGGGUGCAAGCGUUAUCCGGAUUUACUGGGUUUAAAGGGUGCGUAGGUGGGUUGGUAAGUCAGCGGUGAAAUCUUCGAGCUUAACUCGGAAACUGCCAUUGAUACUAUCAGCCUUGAAUAUCCUGGAGGUGAGCGGAAUAUGUCAUGUAGCGGUGAAAUGCUUAGAUAUGACAUAGAACACCAAUUGCGAAGGCAGCUCACUACGGGAUUAUUGACACUGAGGCACGAAAGCGUGGGGAUCAAACAGGAUUAGAUACCCUGGUAGUCCACGCCCUAAACGAUGGAUACUCGACAUUUGCGAUAUACAGUAAGUGUCUGAGCGAAAGCAUUAAGUAUCCCACCUGGGAAGUACGAUCGCAGAUUGAAACUACAAAUGAAUUGACGG